rnacentral:tRNA from 1 species
GGGGGCAUAACUCAGUGGUAGAGUGCCACCUUGACAUGGUGGAAGUCAUCAGUUCAAGUCUGAUUGUUCCCA